GACGAACGCUGGCGGCGUGCUUAACACAUGCAAGUCGAACGGAAAGGCCCUGCUUGCAGGGUGCUCGAGUGGCGAACGGGUGAGUAACACGUGGGUGAUCUGCCCCUUACUUUGGGAUAAGCCUGGGAAACUGGGUCUAAUACUGGAUAGGACCAUGCUGUAGGCGGUGUGGUGGAAAGAUUAGUUUCGGUAAGGGAUGAGCUCGCGGCCUAUCAGCUUGUUGGUGGGGUAAUGGCCUACCAAGGCGUCGACGGGUAGCCGGCCGGAGAGGGUGGACGGCCACAUUGGGACUGAGAUACGGCCCAGACUCCUACGGGAGGCAGCAGUGGGGAAUAUUGCACAAUGGGGGCAAGCCUGAUGCAGCGACGCCGCGUGGGGGAUGACGGCCUUCGGGUUGUAAACUCCUUUCAGCCAUGGCGAAGCCCUUGUGGUGACGGUAGUGGUAGAAGAAGCACCGGCUAACUACGUG
rnacentral:rRNA from 1 species